rnacentral:ncRNA from 2 species
GGUAACGAGUGACAGUGCGGCAGGUUCCACCCGCCAUCAGCCCCGGCUUGCUGUCCGGCAACCCUCCCUCGCGGCGGGGUGCCCCGGGUGAAGACCAGGCCCUGCAUGCAGUGCAGGAGCAAGCGCGAUUC